rnacentral:rRNA from 1 species
GACGAACGCUGGCGGCGUGCUUAACACAUGCAAGUCGAACGGAAAGGCCUGCUUUCCCUUGUGGAUUGCGGGUACUCGAGUGGCGAACGGGUGAGUAACACGUGAGUGAUCUGCCCCCAACUUGGGUAUAAGCCUGGGAAACUGGGUCUAAUUCCCGAUAGGACUGCAGGGUGGUGCCUGUGGUGGAAAACGAUUUUCUAGUGGUUGGGGAUGAGCUCGCGGCCUAUCAGCUUGUUGGUGGGGUAAUGGCCUACCAAGGCGGCGACGGGUAGCCGGCCUGGGAGGGUGGACGGCCACAUUGGGACUGAGAUACGGCCCAGACUCCUACGGGAGGCAGCAGUGGGGAAUAUUGCACAAUGGGCGGAAGCCUGAUGCAGCGACGCCGCGUGGGGGAUGACGGCCUUCGGGUUGUAAUCUCCUUUCGACCGCGAGGAAGCCACCUGGUUGGAAGGGUGGUGACGGUAGUGGUAGAAGAAGCACCGGCUAACUACGUG